UCUCUGGUAGUAUGUCGGUUAGUACACGCGCCUGUCAUUCCUUUGCAUUUAUGCGCGCGCGAAAGCUGGGUUCGACUCCCAGCCAGAGAG